rnacentral:rRNA from 1 species
UACGUAGGGUGCAAGCGUUGUCCGGAAUUAUUGGGCGUAAAGAGCUCGUAGGCGGUUUGUCGCGUCUGCUGUGAAAACUCGGGGCUCAACUCCGAGCUUGCAGUGGGUACGGGCAGACUAGAGUGCGGUAGGGGAGACUGGAAUUCCUGGUGUAGCGGUGGAAUGCGCAGAUAUCAGGAAGAACACCUAUGGCGAAGGCAGCUCUCUGGGACGGUACUGACGCUGAGACGCGAAAGCGUGGGGAGCGAACAGG